CUCCUACGGGAGGCAGCAGUGAGGAAUAUUGGUCAAUGGGCGUAAGCCUGAACCAGCCAUCCCGCGUGAAGGAAGAAGGCGCUAUGCGUUGUAAACUUCUUUUCCAGAGGAAGAAAACCCCUGACGUGUCAGGGCUUGCCGGUACUCUGGGAAUAAGCAUCGGCUAACUCCGUGCCAGCAGCCGCGGUAAUACGGAGGAUGCGAGCGUUAUCCGGAUUUAUUGGGUUUAAAGGGUGCGUAGGCGGAUUAAUAAGUCAGUGGUGAAAACCUUCAGCUUAACUGGAGACUUGCCAUUGAUACUGUUAGUCUUGAGUACGGUCAAGGUAGGCGGAAUGUGUAAUGUAGCGGUGAAAUGCUUAGAUAUUACACAGAACACCGAUUGCGAAGGCAGCUUACUGGGCCAUUACUGACGCUGAUGCACGAAAGCGUGGGGAGCGAACAGGAUUAGAUACCCUGGUAGUCCACGCCGUAAACGAUGAUCACUCGCUGUUGGCGAUACACAGUCAGCGGCUAAGCAAAAGCAUUAAGUGAUCCACCUGGGGAGUACGGCCGCAAGGCUGAAACUCAAAAGAAUUGACGG
rnacentral:rRNA from 1 species